rnacentral:lncRNA from 10 species
CACCAACCUCCGGUGGCAGGAAAAACUAUUAUUAUUCUCUUGUGAAAAUUAAAACUUAACCAUCAACAUAGAGCUGUUACUGGUUUGAAGGAAGCCAUUGACGCUGUGUCAAAGGCUAGAGCAGAAAACAGUGGCAUGCAGUGUCAAAGGUCAAAGUCAACACUUCUCGGACUGGCACAGGGAAGAUAGGAUUUCACUGUGUUGUCCAAGCUGGAGUGCAGUGGCUCAAUCACAGGUCAUGGCAGCCUCGACCUCCUGGGGUUCAGGUGAUCCUCCCAUCUCAGCCUC